rnacentral:tRNA from 1 species
GGAGGAGUGGCUGAGUGGUUGAAAGUACCGCUUUCGAAAAGCGGCAAGGGUUUAAACCCUUCGUGGGUUCGAAUCCCACCUCCUCCG